rnacentral:rRNA from 1 species
GAUGAACGCUGGCGGCGUGCCUAACACAUGCAAGUCGAACGAAGCACUUCGAUUUCUUCGGAAUGAAAAGUGACUGAGUGGCGGACGGGUGAGUAACGCGUGGGUAACCUGCCUCAUACAGGGGGAUAACAGUUAGAAAUGGCUGCUAAUACCGCAUAAGCGCACAGUACCGCAUGGUAUCGUGUGAAAAACUCCGGUGGUAUGAGAUGGACCCGCGUCUGAUUAGCUAGUUGGUAAGGUAACGGCUUACCAAGGCGACGAUCAGUAGCCGGCCUGAGAGGGUGAUCGGCCACAUUGGGACUGAGACACGGCCCAAAAUCCUACGGGAGCAGCAGUGGGAAUAUGCACAAUGGGGGGAAAACCCUGAUGCAGCAACGCCGCGUGAAGGAUGACGUA